rnacentral:lncRNA from 1 species
UCAAGUGUGAAUUUAUUUAGGGGGGAGGUUUCUGGGUCUGAACACGCAGAUGGCAACCUAGCAUGUUGUGGCAUUUGUAUGGAGCCACCGGUCGUCUCACGGACUAUUGACCCAUACACCACUAAUCCGCUGCCACCAACCAGGUUCUCCCCAGUAAAUCACUUAGUCUUGGUCAGGUUCUCAAGUUAACAAAGAAGAGUGUAGUUUACUGCAGACACAAACAAACUUUAACUGCAUUCCAAAAGUUGUUACUCUUUACCUUCUUAGUCUUCUUUUAUCCUGUCUCUAUCUCUUCUACCUCCCCUCACACAAGAACCAACUGCACUAACUGUCUCUCUAUGUCCAACUGCCGGCCAACUGCUUUUCCAGCUGCCUUUUCCCAACCAACCAACUAAAACCAACCAACUACCUGCACCCAAACCUCGGGCUAAGCCCUUUUAUAAACAGGUAGGCUCCGCCUCUAGCUUUCCUACUGGUCUACAUUUUAACCCUUUCUCUCUCCCCGUACAGACAUUUUCAAAUGAAUGGGCAAAUGCCACACACAGCAUCACAUGUCAUAGAAUAUUACAUUUACCAACCUUCUAGUGACACCCAAGUAAGUCUUUGCAUUAGACCAGGGAUGGGGAACCUGUUUCUCUGCCUGACUGCAGCUCCCAUCCUCAACUAGGAUUGUUACGUAUUCUUGCUAGGGCUUAUAGGCAUCCAACAACAUUCCUUCAUUAGAUAAUUAAGAACAUACCUUUCUUUGAGACCUCGUUGUGGUCUUUGUGGAAGUUGUUCAGUGGAUUUGUAACUGGCUGACUGACCGAACCCAAAGGGUGCUCAUCAAUGGUUCCUCUUCAUCCUGGAGAAGAGUGACUCGUGGGGUGCCACAGGGUUCUGUCUUGGGCCCGGUCUUAUUCAACAUCUUUAUCAACGACUUGGAUGAUGGACUCAAGGGCAUCCUGAUCAAAUUUGCAGAUGACACCAAAUUGGGAGGGGUGGCCAGAGGACAGGCUCACACUUCAAAACGACCUUGACAGAUUGGAGAACUGGGCCAAAACAAACAAGAUGAAUUUUAACAGGGAGAAAUGUAAAGUAUUGCACUUGGGCAAAAAAAAUGAGAGGCACAAAUACAAGAUGGGUGACACCUGGCUUGAGAGCAGUACAUGCGAAAAGGAUCUAGGAGUCUUGGUUGACCACAAACUUGAAAUGAGCCAACAGUGUGACGCGGCAGCUAAAAAAAGCCAAUGCAAUUCUGGGCUGCAUCAAUAGGAGUAUAGCAUCUAGAUCAAGGGAAGUAAUAGUGCCACUGUAUUCUGCUCUGGUCAGACCUCACCUGGAGUACUGUGUCCAGUUCUGGGCACCACAGUUCAAGAAGGACACUGACAAACUGGAACGUGUCCAGAGGAGGGCAACCAAAAUGGUCAAAGGCCUGGAAACGAUGCCUUAUGAGGAACGGCUAAGGGAGCUGGGCAUGUUUAGCCUGGAGAAGAGGAGGUUAAGGGGUGAUAUGAUAGCCAUGUUCAAAUAUAUAAAAGGAUGUCACAUAGAGGAGGGAGAAAGGUUGUUUUCUGCUGCUCCAGAGAAGUGGACACGGAGCAAUGGAUCCAAACUACAAGAAAGAAGAUUCCACCUAAACAUUAGGAAGAACUUCCUGACAGUAAGAGCUGUUCGACAGUGGAAUUUGCUGCCAAGGAGUGUGGUGGAGUCUCCUUCUUUGGAGGUCUUUAAGCAGAGGCUUGACAACCGUAUGUCAGGAGUGCUCUGAUGGUGUUUCCUGCUUGGCAGGGGGUUGGACUCGAUGGCCCUUGUGGUCUCUUCCAACUCUAUGAUUCUAUGAUUCUAGUUGUGUAUUUUUUUAACGUUUCCUUUAUUGCUUGACUGCUUUCCUUAUACUGUAGUUGAAGUAGAUGUGGGUUCACGAAAGACCCAAGGCAACGAUUCAGCUUAAAGGCUUUAUUGAGGCCUCAGGAACAAACCGGGGAAACAGGGGAAAGGGUCUGAUUUAUAUACAUUUUGGCCAACCCCUGGCAACACCCACCUAGUACAUGAUUGGCUGCUUUGCACCAGGCAGUGAAUUACAAUGCAGGCCAGGCUUCCGAAGCCUGCAUUGUGAUGCGGACUCAAGCUCAGAGCAGGAGACAUUAUGGAAUAUACCCAACAUGUAUUUUUUUCAUGUCAUAAGCCACCUUGAGCAUGUUUUGAACUGUGGAAAGAUGGCGUACUGAUAUAAUUAUGUAUGUAUGCAUGUAUGUAUGUACAGAGCCCUGAAUAACUUGGGACCCAAAUAAUUAAAGGAGCACCUUCCUCAGUAUCUACCAACCUUGGCUUUGAGAUCAUCAAGAGAGGUUCUGCUGGUGGGCCUGUGGGACCUCCUUGGUGGUGGCACACCAGUUCUGGAAUUCGCUCCUGGUGGACACUUUGUAGGCUCCCCACUCCCCACUAUUAUCUUUCAGACAACAAUAUAAUACAUACUUGUUUGACUGAGCCUUGUGUACACAGCUGGGGUGGAGCUCCAAAUAAUGCAAAAGUCCACUGUCCACUGUGUUGUAUCUCAUCACAGAAAUGGGUUUUAGCUGUUCUUUUAUGUGGCUUUCAUUAUUUUUUUUUGUUCUUUGUUAGCCCCCCUUGACCCCUAUAGGGCUGAAGGGUGGGAUACAAAAACAAUAACACUCCCCACCUCCCUGUUUUGGAGACCAAGUGAAACAUGAGACAGCCCUAGUGAGGAUGCCACAGCUAACUCCCCAGUGCGCUAUCUGUAUCCGCAUCUUCUCUUCAUGACCCUUUACAGUGUCCAUAGGGAGGCAUCAAUGUACGUAGAUGUGGCUGACACAUCUGCUGUGUAAGGUGUGAAUCAGGCCUAAGUGAUUUUUGUCAUGCCUUCCCCCUUCUGUUAUUUCUAGGCUGAUGAAAUCCCCAUGAGAUCUUGCAAUGGAGCUAAAGCGUAUGUACCGUAUUCAUUUCCUUUCAUGUGUCUGAGUCAGGCUCUGUUGAAAUGAAUUAUAGUUAGAAAUGGGCAUGUUAGAUAUGAAUUUGUGAUAAAUUAGGGGGAAAGAACAUGGUGAGUGUAUUUUUAAGCCACUAGCCAUGACAUGUGAAGUCUGAUAUUUACAGAUAAAUAUACCUAUCGGUUUUGCAGCGACAACCGUUUAGGUACCUGGAAGUAGAAAUCAGCAUAUGAUAAAAACAAACCAAUCCUGGGCCACAUAAAGGAAAGGACAACAAAGUAAAACUGCAGUACUCCCCAGCCAGCUGCCAUAUCGUUGACCAGGCCUGUGGCCAGGCCACUAAUGACCGCUCCCCACAUUAAAUGGGGGGCGCCCUUUGCGUGGUCGUGCACAGCCGCCGGACCCUAUGAGGCACCAUUAGCACAGGCUUGGCUUCUCCUUCUCCAGGUGGAAUACCUGGAGGUCUCUGCCUACCUCAGCCAGUUGCCCAAUCCCACCUGGGGAAGCGUUGCCAAGGUGAUUAGGCCAGGUAGGGGGAGGGACCACCCUGCCCACACAAUACGGGGAGGAUCUUACCUGGGAAUCGUCAGUUGGCUCAAGAGCUUCUCCCACCCUAACCACCCUCAGUUAAGACUUCUUUUGCAGGUUAACCUCUUCUCCACAGGUAGGCGGGCGCUGCUACGUCAAGGUCGCUGUUGAAGGGCUGGAAAGGAAUUCUCCUGCAUUGGCAGGUUUGCCUUUCCCAUAGCAAAACGUCACAACUUUGGCAGUAUCAGGCUUUGGGCAGAAUGCUUUAGUCUACCUUCCCUAAAUUGGGGGUGGGCGUGUAGCAGUGACUUACGUCCCCCUUCUCUUUGCGGCAGCGAUACCAGGGAUCCCCAUUAAAGAGGUUGUUUUGAGAGGAAGCUUUGGCCGUACGCUGAGAGGUUGUCAUUGCUCUCCCCUGCGGCGGCGGCAUAACGGGGGCGGGCUCUCUCUGCCUGAACAUAUGUUCUCCAGAGCCGCCCAUCCCCCCACAUACUGGAUAACCCUGAUGUUCCCCAGAUCCCCAGCGGGGGACUGGGAGGGAUAAACGCCCAAUGCCUGAGCCAAGGUCUACCCACAUCUGAAACAUAAUAAAGUUGUGGCCAAUUUUAAUCCCAUAGCACAUUGUCUUGAGUCGUUAUUCCACACGGGGGCCGCCCAGGGUUUGGG